rnacentral:miRNA from 1 species
UACCUAAAGCCAGAGCUAA